UGUGGGGAAGGAAUAAAAUACCUUAUCAAGGUUCAUGUUGCAGAAACGGACUACAUUCAUGUAGAAGUCUUGGAAGAUCUCGAAGAAAAUGUUUUGCUGAUUAAUGUAAAGGAGCAUCAAACAAAACAAAGCCUCAUCGUACCUUUUUAGAAACUGAUCCCAGAACCAGUCUCACCAGUAAAAUACUUAAAGGCUGCAGUCUCCUGUUAAAA